UAUCAUGGCUCAGAUUGAACGCUGGCGGCAGGCUUAACACAUGCAAGUCGAGCGGAGAGAGGUAGCUUGCUACUGAUCUUAGCGGCGGACGGGUGAGUAAUGCUUAGGAAUCUGCCUAUUAGUGGGGGACAACAUUUCGAAAGGAAUGCUAAUACCGCAUACGUCCUACGGGAGAAAGCAGGGGAUCUUCGGACCUUGCGCUAAUAGAUGAGCCUAAGUCGGAUUAGCUAGUUGGUGGGGUAAAGGCCUACCAAGGCGACGAUCUGUAGCGGGUCUGAGAGGAUGAUCCGCCACACUGGGACUGAGACACGGCCCAGACUCCUACGGGAGGCAGCAGUGGGGAAUAUUGGACAAUGGGCGCAAGCCUGAUCCAGCCAUGCCGCGUGUGUGAAGAAGGCCUUAUGGUUGUAAAGCACUUUAAGCGAGGAGGAGGCUACUUUAGUUAAUACCUAGAGAUAGUGGACGUUACUCGCAGAAUAAGCACCGGCUAACUCUGUGCCAGCAGCCGCGGUAAUACAGAGGGUGCAAGCGUUAAUCGGAUUUACUGGGCGUAAAGCGCGCGUAGGCGGCUAAUUAAGUCAAAUGUGAAAUCCCCGAGCUUAACUUGGGAAUUGCAUUCGAUACUGGUUAGCUAGAGUGUGGGAGAGGAUGGUAGAAUUCCAGGUGUAGCGGUGAAAUGCGUAGAGAUCUGGAGGAAUACCGAUG
rnacentral:rRNA from 1 species